GGAUGUGAAAGCAAUCUGGCUGCAACAUCUGUCACUGCAAUCAUCUGCCAUUGAUUGCCAGGGGUUGAUUCAGCUGAUCUGUCUGGCUAGGCAAGUGUCCCCUUCCUUCCACGCCACUCCAUGUGGGUCCCUCCCAAAGCUGCACACUCUGUUGAAGAGGAUGACCAUCCCCGAUUGAGGAGGACCAUUUCCUCAGUCAAGAGUAUACAAAUGGGCCAGGGAUUUAGCUCAGUGGUUUCACCGCCUGCAGCACAAGCACAAGGACCGGAGUUUGAUCCCCGGU
rnacentral:snRNA from 1 species